AUGAAAUCUGAAAGUGCAAGAGGCAGCCCCCUUCCAGUGUGUGAACGUCUUGUAAAAGUUUCCUUUGAAACAACUGUGAUGAGUCAGUUCGCUAUGUUUGCAAGAAAAAAGAAAGUGCUAGCCAUGCAUAUACUGUGGCUCUUCUUUAAGGUAGCCAUUGCGGGAAAAACAAACCAAGACCAAAAAAACCCAACGCUACCAGCAAAAUUCAUUUUGUUUCUGCUCAGACAUUGGAUGGAAGGACUAAAUUACCAAGCACAGGCACACAUUAUACAGACAGGGGUUCCUAGUGCUGCACACCUAGACCGUCUGCUAUAUGAUCAUGCCCUGACUGACUGGCGGGGACGGGGAGAAGAGAAGGUGUAGAUGACAGACAGGCUCCAUACUAGAGAGACAAGAUAGGUGAGAUAAUAUCAAGCACCUUCAAAAU
rnacentral:lncRNA from 1 species